GCACUCUCACCAUCGCGAUUUGGUUCUCAGAAUGCUUUUCCUUUGCCACCUGGAACUCCUGAGGCACAAACGCUCACUCGAUGGAUCUGUAACAGCUACAGGUAUGAAUAUGCCAGUUAAAGUCAUUUAAAGUAUGCAUAGCAGCAAUUCAUUAUUUUGUGAAUGACGAUCUUAAUCAUGUUGGGGCGGCACUUUACACGUUUUCACAGAUUCUAUUUAGGCGCAGAAUUACUCAAGUGUGAAGGGAGCGAAUCGAUACUUAAAUCCCUUUGGCAUCACUCAGACGCAGUUCUGUGCUGCUCUUUAAAGGUAAUUUCUUUUAGUAUAUUUUUUCUGAUAAGAAUUUGGUUAGAACUUCAAAUAUACUAGCGAAACUCCUCACGGCUAAAUCAAAUGUUGUACCUUUUUUCUUGAUUGAUGCAAUAUUUUAGAAAUUAUAUAAAUUUAAAUAUGAUUUUGGCAGGCAUUACCCGUUUUUACGUUUGCAAAUCAAGCUGGACUUGACAUGCUUGAAACCACCCUGGUUGCACUUCAAGACAUCACCCUAGAAAAGAUAUUCGAUGACAACGGAAAGAAAACCCUGUGCUCUGAAUU
rnacentral:lncRNA from 1 species